rnacentral:tRNA from 1 species
GACAUAGCUCAAUUGGAUUGGCAGAGCAACUGAUUUGUAAUCAGUAGGUUGUAGGUUCGAUUCCUAUUGUCGGC